AGACUUCCGGUUCUGAGGCAGUACACCACGGAAACCAAAAAGCUAUGGAUACGAGAGAAGAUGAAGUGGAGAGUCCCAGUAUAUUUGAUCUGAACUACGUGUUGAACAGCUGCUCCAACUUCUCUCCUGAUCUGGAGGAAGAAGAACGCGCUUCCAAACCAACUCUCAACUUGUUGGAGGUUAAUUAUGAGGUCAAAGAAAGGGUAGGACCAUGGUGGAAGGGAGCGUGCUUCCGGAAACAGCGGAAGAAGACAGUGCUCCGUGACGUCACAAUGCAACUGAAAAGUGGACUACUGACGGCGAUACUCGGCAGCUCAGGAUCCGGUAAAACAUCUCUACUGGACGUCAUAGCGUGUAGAACGGAGGGUAAAGUCACGGGCAAGGUCUACUACAAUAACUACGAGUGUACCAAGGAGGUGAUCAAGCAGUACGGCGCGUACGUGAUGCAGGCCGACCGCUUCCUUCACAACCUGACCGUCAGGGAGACGCUGCGAUACGCCGCAUAUCUACGGCUGCCCGGCCGGACCAAGAAGUUCGAAAUCGAGAAUAAGGUAAACAAUGUCAUUAAUGAGAUGGGUUUGAAGAAUGUGGCAGACAAUAAGAUAGGCGGCACCAUUGUACGAGGAAUUUCGGGCGGGGAGCGGAGAAGAGUAACAAUUGCAUUACAGCUUUUACAAGAUCCAAAGAUUCUGCUGUUAGAUGAACCGACUACGGGUUUAGACAGCUACACAGCUCACUACCUUGUCUCAAACCUCCGGGACAUCGCGCGCAGAGGUAAACUGGUUCUCCUUACCAUUCACCAGCCUCGUUCUGACAUUUUCAAACUCUUCGAUGAAGUCGGUAUUCUGAGUAUGGGCGACAUGGUAUACUUCGGCGGGGCGGAACAAAUGCUGGACUACUACCAGGACAUUGGAUACCCCUGUCCCACCUAUGCAAAUCCUUUGGAUCACUAUGUUGAUUUGGCCAGUAUAGACAGAAGGGACCACCAGAGGGAGCACGAGACGGCGACACGCGUGCGCCACCUGGUGGACACGUUCUUCAAGUCGGAGAUCCACAACCAAACGUUAAAUGACGUCAACGAGGCCACGUUGCGCCCCACCAACAGGGCCACCAUGCUGUACUUCUACAAACCCCGCCCACCCAAUGUGUUUAGAGUCAUCAAAUUGUGUUUCAUUAGAGUUCUAAUGUCACACUUGCAGCGCUAAGUAUAUUAGCCGGAAAUUUCGUAUAGCAAUACAGUAUACUACAUUUUAUAAAUGUAUUAUCAUAUGUAUGAAAAUGUGGGGGUUUUUUAAAUUGGGUUGAUCUUUUCUUAUUUUAUUAAUUUUUAUUUGCAUGCAGAGCAAUUUCGAUAACAUUAAAAUAUUUAUUAUUUUAAUUAAUUACGGUUUCGAUUAAAAUACACUCAUACAACAGAUCUCGCCUUACUGUUUGAUACGAUUGCAUAAUUUUCUUACAUCUAAGAUAUUUAAACAUUCUGUGUUCAAGCAUUUAUCCGCAAAAUGGAGAAUGAGAAAACAUAUUGCAAUACCCGGUACGAUUUCUUUUUUAAUGAACAACAAUACACCGGUAGGAUGGUGUAUUGGAUUUAUGGCGCAGCCCAGUGCGGAAGGAUAUUAACCCUUCUUUGUUCUCCAUUUUCAGGCGGAUGAUGGUGAACUUGGCGCGGGAGCGGACGAUCUACAUCCCGCGGCUGUUCAUGCUGUCGCUGUUCGUGCCCUUCAUCCUGGCCUUCCUGGGUCACAUGAAGACCAAUCAGGAAAGUAUUCAGGACAGGAUCGGGUUGAUGUAUCAGUCCGCCAGUGUGCCCCCGUAUGUCUCCAUUCUUAAUGCCGUGGCCAUAUUUCCGCCCCUGAGAGACCUGUAUUACCGGGAAUGCCGGGACGGGUUGUACUCCACCGCCACCUUUAUUCUGACAUACGCCAUCCAUGUUCUACCAUUCCACAUCAUUGCCAGUUUUUUCUUCAGUAUUAUAGUCUACUGGGUUACGGGUUUGUACCCGAGCUGGGACCGAUUCGCCAUUUACUAUGCCGUAGUGUGCGCACUUCACUUCAUAGGGGAGAUAAUCACCGUGGGCACGAUGGGGGUCCUCAUCAACCCUAACAUCGCCAACAGUACCUCGGCCCUUGUCCUCACGGCCUCACUACUGCUGGCCUCAGGGCUCCUCAGGAGCAUCAAGAACAUGCUGGAGAUUUUCCAGUGGGCCAGCUGGCUGAGUGUUCACAAGUACAGCACAGAGAUCUUGAUGGCCAACGAGUUCCACGGACUCAACUUCACAUGUCCCCCACCCACCUUAGGGGUUUGUCAGUUUGAGACGGGGGACGCCUAUUUGAGAGAGUUUUACCCCGAUGCUGUGGACAACAUGCACACGAACUUUGGGGCGCUGGGCGGCUUCACAGUGUCUUUCGUAGUGUUCACAAUCAUAGCCUUCAAGAUUCGAGGUAUACCGAACCUCAACUAGGACGGAAAUGGACGGGUUUUAAUCAAGCCAUAAAAGACUGACAACGAGUUUAACAAUAGUUAUCACUUUUUGCUCUAUUUGUUGUUGAAACUUUGUAUUUAUUGUUAACGAUGUCUGUGAUAAAUAAAUUUUAACAAAAAC
rnacentral:misc_RNA from 1 species